CAGAGGAGGGUUCAGAUUGCAAUACCAUCAUGGAACGCCUUGUCUUUUCAGAACCUUUGAAUCGUACAUCCCAAAGCAACCGAUUCUGUAUUGAAAAGCCCGAAGAAGAUCCAUCCAUUAUCAUCAAUCAAAAAUCAAUGUUCAUCAAGAAACGGAGAGGCAAAAGAAAGAUCAGCAAAUUCUGCGGAUUCUGAUGAAAAAAAGCGCGCCACAACGAAGUGGUAGCCCAGUUUUUAGCGAUCAUUCAUUCGUUCGUUCGUUCUCAGCUAUGAAUUCAGAAGGACAGAGAGAAAAGGAGUCUGCUCUAAAUCGCACAAACAGGCAUUGUAGAAAUUGGGGAGCUCAGAAUGAGGGACCAUGUGACAGCCUCACGAGGCCGGCCGGCAGUCGCCUUAAGACACGCGUGUGUGCGCGCGCACCAAGUGUUUGACAAAAUGCCAAAACCAACAGAACAAACUGAGAAGAAACCUUCAACAUUCUAAACAGAUUACAAAAUCCUCAGAGAUCGAAA